rnacentral:misc_RNA from 1 species
AUUUGCCAAACCCAAAACCAUUAAUAUUCUGGUCCAGUUUAUAAUAAUUCACUUAUCCUAAGCAUAAAUCCCAGAUCACCUUCAAAUACAAUGUGCAUUCACCAUUGCUCGAUCUUUCCCAGUAUUUUAUAUCCCUAAAAUAUUUUAGAACUAAAAGAUACAUUAGAAUCUUUUGGAAAAAUAAAAUAAAAUAAUGCUUUAUUUUCAUAUUUCAUAUAAUUGACGAAUCCUUUUUCAUUCACAUAUACUCCAUCAUAUUUAUCCCUAAAAUAUUUUAGAACUAAAAGAUACAUUAGAAUCUUUUGGAAAAAUAAAAUAAAAUAAUGCUUUAUUUUCAUAUUUCAUAUAAUUGACGAAUCCUUUUUCAUUCACAUAUACUCCAUCAUAUU